rnacentral:lncRNA from 1 species
AUGAUGAUGAUGAUGAUGAUGAUGAUGCCACAUUUUGUUUUUCUGUCCAUCCAGCUUGUGUUUGAAAUAGAGUGCAUUUUUAUAAACCUGUGGAUUGUUACUGGAACUAAACCGAUAACCUUAGCUACUAACGCAGUAUUUAUUUUUCACAUCUUAUCAAGCGUUGAGAGCUCAGUGUACUUCUGUGUGUCGCAGCUCAAACAGUCAAGAAAUAAAGGCCUGGAAAUGAUUCCGCAGGAGUCCGCCGUGUUUCUGCUUCAUGUUCAGAGCUGUAGUUCAUCUGAAAAUGAAAGAGACGGUCUGAAUCCAAAUCCUGAUUAAACACAAUCAGUGUGAAUUCAGGACGAUCCACAAAGGGAUAUUUUGAGUUGCAUAAAAUAACUCAUUUUUAUAUUUUUGCAUUUCAUAUUUUUUAUCACUAUUUGCAUGCCUUAUCCAUGAGUGUGCAAUGCUGGACAGCAAGUAAAAUACCUGGAGGUGAGGAAUAAUACAUAAAAAUAUCACAUUCGCUGAGUAUUAGUAUUCAGAGUUUGUGAAGUUUAAAAGGUUAUCUCGAUAUCAGAAAUCUGGCUGAUAAAGCAAAACUUUUUCAUUUUCAUUCUAGUCAACAAAUGAUUAAAACGUCUUCAUCUCUGCGCAACACACGUGGCAUCUGUUUACAAUCGCAGCGCCCCGCCCACUCAGAGCACGCACGCAGCGUCAAGCACGCAGCGCUGAACAAGCCCCGCCCACUCGCGCUCUUUCAGCGUGACCUGUCUUUUUGCAACGUAUGCUAUUUUUGAAAAGUGAACACGUCAUUAAAGGAACUAAUGACAAAUAUACAUCACAACAAAUCAGAUACUGAAACAUAGUAACAGUUUCAAUGUUGUAAAAUGUAUAAACUAUAAAACAAAUUCAGUUUUGGCUCUACAGAAGACAACAGUCAAUAUUCAGAUCAAAUCUGUUCAAUGGUGAUUUGUGACUUAAGUAGAUUUUUAUUAUUUAAAUUGUGUUGUGUUAAAGCACUUUAUAAAGGGUGAUUGUUAGUAUAUGAUAGUGCUGAAGAUUUUAUGCUGAAAUAUGAUGUGUAUCUGUUUUCUUUGUGUGUUUUUCUUGUUUUAUCUGUAGGGUCACACUAGAGGGCGAGCUGAUGUCAGGAAUCAUGUUUGACUGCAGUCAGUGUUUCAGUGUUCAUCUGUCAGCAGUGCUGAGGAGAAACUAGUGACGUGACGGAAUUACGUCAUUUAAUUAAAACAUUACAUUGCGUGGCUCAAAAUUAUACAUUCUUCCUUUAUGCCAAAAAUCAUUAGGAUAUUAAGUAAAGAUCAUGUUCAUGAAGAUAUUUAGUAAAUCUCCUACUGUAAAUAUAUCAAAACUUAAUGUUUGAUUAGUAAUAUGCAUUGCUAAGAACUUCAUCUGAACAACUUUAAAGAUGAUUUUCUCAAUAUUUAGAUUUUUUUGCUCCCUCAGAUUCCAGAUUUUCAAAUAGUUGCAUCUCAGACAAAUAUUGUCCUCCGAACAAACCACACAUCACUGGGAGAUCAUUUAUUCAACUUCAGAUGAUGUAGACAUCUCAAUUAAAAAAUUGACCCUUAUGACUGGUUUUGUGUUCCCGGCUCACAUCUCAAGCUUUUAUUUCCUAUUUGGUUUUAUGUACAGUUUAUGCUUUAUUGUUUAAGAUUGAAUAGGUUUUUUCUUCUUCUUCAAAAUCAACUCUAGAUGCCAGUGUAGGACUGACUGUGUGUGUGUGUGUGUGUGUGUGUGUGUGUGUCUGUGUCUGUGUCUGUCUCUGUGUGUGUGUGUGUGUGUGUGUGUGUGUCUGUGUGUUUGAGUGUCUGUGUGUCUGUGUGUGUGUGUGUCUGUGUGUCUGUGUGUCUGUGUGUCUGUGUGUUUGUGUGUGUCUGUGUGUGUGUGUGUGUGUGUGUGAGUGUCUGUGUGUCUCUGUGUGUGUGUGUGUGUGUGUGUGUGUGUGUCUGUGUGUGUGUGUGUGUGUGUGUGUGUGUGUGUCUGUGUGUGGGUGUGUUUUUGCUACCUCUUGGGGACAUGGAUGUGUUUUUUUACCUUCCAUGUGGGGACACGAUGACCAACUGGGGACAAAAUCUGUGUCCCCAUAAGGAUGCCCAUUGGAACUGAUAGGAAAUAGCAUGCUAAUAUAGCCUGUGCAAAUUUCUUAGCUCCUUACUUGUGACCCCAGAAGGUGGUUUUACCAGUGUUGGAGUGUGAGGGUGUGUGUUCGGAUUUGCCCCCUGAGCCGGGUCUUGGUACUGCAGUGUGCAUAUUUAAUAAAUCUCCGCCUCAUAUUUACAUGUAUGGCGGGAAACUAAGAAGACGUGUUUCCCCCUAUGGCUCGGUCCUGGUACAGCAUUGUGCAUAAUAAAUAAUUGCCAGAUAUUACAUAUCAAUAAAUGCUACAUAUCUGGACACAAGGAAGUUAUCUCAAGUUAACUGCUCAGCUUUUGAUGGAUAUCAACCAUGUAUUCUAGUAAAUUAAUAAAGUAUGAUGAAUAUAGACUAUCGUACGCUUCGACUAUAAAAAUUAAUAUAAUUUUCAGAAACUUUGUAUGUUAUAGCCUAGUAGGAUGUUUAGAUCUUGUUCUACAAGGAGCCAUAAAAUAUCAAAUUGUUUUACCAAAACGUUGAAAAACAAACACCUGCUAAACAUAGUCAAUUACUAGUCAUGAAAUCAGAAACCCAUGUUGUAAUUCAUGUUAUGUUAGUAUCAUGUUAGUAGAUCGCGUUGCUGAUAGCUUUAGGCUAGCUAACAAGAUAGCACACGUGAUUACAGUAGGUACAGCCUGUCCACGCAACGCAGUAACCCCACCCAUUUGUAUAGCGCCCAAUACAAAGUAAUGAUAAAGCUAUGAAACAACGUAUAUUAUGUAAUUAUUGUUAUCCUACCUUAGACAUGUUGUCAGUGAAGAUAAUGUCCAAACUAUCGUUUGAUGUCAACAGGGACGGACUGACAAUCUGUGCGUUCUGGAAAAGUCCAGAACGGCCGUCCGUUUAAACUUACGGAAAAAAGGCACAGUAUAAACAUAUAAACUACCGGUAUUUAUUUACUUCAGAUCACCGUUCGCGGGGCCGGUAUACGUCACCAUGGGUAAACGCGGCGCGACUCAAGUUAUUUUGCUUAGAAUUAUGGGUAGUGUAGUAUUUCUCCAGAGAUCGCAAAAUAACAAGGUUGAUGUUUUAUACUUUGUGGCUUUUAUGGGAGCAGAAACUUUCGUUUCUCAGCCUCGUAGCUCAUGGUCAAUCUAACUUGGAUGGUUUAGGGGUCUCCAAACUUUUUUAGCUACUUUUUAAAAAUGAAAGUGGCCGAGAGCUAUAUGCAAAAAUUAAAUCUAUAAAAAAAAAAAAACUAACAUAAAUAAUGUCUCAUAACUCUCAUAUUAACAACUAUGCCAACUGUUUUAGACCUAAACGAGUUAUUGUAAGCCUAUAUGUCACCUUUAAUUGACAUAUAAAAAAAUUAUUAUACUGUAAAAACACAUAAUUAUUGUUGAUUUUAUAGUACAUCAUAACUGUAUUUUCAUGAUUAUAGUGACCAAAAUGAGCAUUGUUAUCACAUAAUCCUGUUCAAAAAGUACUAAUACUACACAAUAAAAUCAAUUCACCAAGUUUUAUAUCGAAAACCAGCAAAUAACAAAUAAACUUACCAUCAAUAUGCACUUUUUGUUUGCAUAAACAUUAAAAUAGUAUCAUUAAAAUGAUGGCCAAAUUUGAAUGAAGUGUCUUACAACAUGUUAUCUACUAACAUGUAAAAGUUCAAAUAAAGUUUUGACAAAAACGUUUUUAUAAAAAGAUAAACCUCGCAUAUUUCAGUCUUUAAAUCAUUCUUAUAAAAAGAAUGAUUCAAAAAAGACAAAAUACUGACAUUUACAAUACACAAUAGCUUAUCUUUUAUUAUUAAUAGUACAGUUUUUUUUUCAUUCGCUUUGGUACUAUUUCCACAAAUAAGGUGUACAUUUUCAAAACUCUUAGUACAAAAAUCCAAACUGAUCACACUUGUAACACAGCUAGUCAUUCUUUCAAAACCGGAUCUCAUGCUUUCAUUCAGUUGCACAUGUUUUCAUUCCAUAUAAUCAUUGUUUCAAACACAAGAUUAUUGUAAUAUGUAAUGAGAACAUUUGGUUUAAUCACUGAAACACAACAGUAUGAUCUUCUUUCAGUUUAGUACUUUUAACAUUCAGUUCAUCCAACAGCAAACAAUGCAAGAUACUGGUUUCAAAUCGGCCUUAGAAGUGCUGAAAUUAAUAUGCUACAGUACUAUAAAAGACAGAUUACACAGUUUUCACAUUAGGCCAAUACACUUUUAUAUGCCAAUAUAUUUAGUACAUUACCCAACAUUUACAUAAUCUAUAAUUUCCAAAAUAUCCAUCCAAUGUGUAAUCAAGUGAAGGAUCAAUGAAGACAUCCUCUACAAUAAUUUGGGCAAAUUAGUUUUUAUUUUUCUGAUAUAAUUGUAACAUAGGUAUAUUUUCUAUAAUGAAAUUUAACUAAAGGAGAAGAAAACAUAACAUUUAGUGCACACAUUACAUAAUUUGGGAUCACGCCUGUCCUUGAGCAUUUGGCCAUAGAUUCUCAUCCCACAUCACAAUGAAUGUUAUCAUUGUUCAAGCACCUUGGAAAAAGCCUUUUGGCGUGCAUGCUUGACAUUGGUCUACACUGAUGUCAUCACAUGCAUCAUCCAUGGCCUGAAUGAGGCUAGCACGCUCAAGGGGUUGGUGAUCAUAGACCUUCCACCUCCAUGCUGAAAAACAUUCCUCAAUAGGGUUGAGGAAGGGAGAAUAUGGAGGCAGGUAGAGGGUCAUGAAUCAGGGAUGGGCCUGAAACCAUGCUUGAACUACCUCUGCGUGGUGGAACCUGACAUUGUCCAACACAGUUACAUAGGUGACCCCCUUUAUACCUUGACAGGCUGGUUCAAUUUCAUUGAGGAACUCAAUAAGAUGUGCAGCAUUAUAGGAGCCAAGUAAUGGCCUACGUCCUACAACACCGUCUUCAGAGAUAGCUGCGCACAUGGAGAUGUUUCCUCCAGGUUGUCCAGGCACUUGGACAUAAUUUAUAUGUUCAUACAAACACGCAUUUUUAUUUCUGUAGUUCUCCAAAAUCCAUAUACUGUAUAUUCCUGACAAACCAAUUUAAAAUCUAUAGGUUUACCAAACGGUUCAGUGAUUAACCAUUAAGAUCAGUAAGAGAUUUAUGAAAGGUGGUUACUGUGAAUGAAACAUUUAUUAAGAUGAAACACUUAUUUUGUGUAGUGAAAAGGAUACUUUGUGGUUUUGUGUAUUGUACUAAAACAAUCGAAAAUAUGCUGAAUGUUUGAAAAAAGUGGCA